rnacentral:rRNA from 1 species
AUACGGAAGAUGCGAGCGUUAUCCGGAUUUAUUGGGUUUAAAGGGUGCGUAGGCUGUGCGUUAAGUCAGGGGUGAAAUGCCGUCGCUCAACGACGGAGCUGCCCUUGAUACUGGCGUGCUGGAGUACGGAUGCCGUUGGAGGAAUGAGUGGUGUAGCGGUGAAAUGCUUAGAUAUCACUCAGAACACCGAUUGCGAAGGCAUCUGACGAAUCCGUCACUGACGCUGAGGCACGAAAGCGUGGGGAUAGAACAGGAUUAGAUACCCUGGUAUUCCACGCCGUAAACGAUGAUGACUAACCGUCGGCGAUAGACAGCCGGUGGCCAAGCGAAAGCGAUAAGUCAUCCACCUGGGGAGUACGUCGGCAACGAUGAAACUCAAAGGAAUUGACGGGG